CCUUUGAACUCAGUGGUAGAGUAACGCCAUGGUAAGGCGUAAGUCAUUUGACUAAAGUUCGAUUUGGAGAU
rnacentral:tRNA from 1 species